UACGUAGGGUGCGAGCGUUAAUCGGAAUUACUGGGCGUAAAGCGUGCGCAGGCGGUUAUGUGAGACAGAUGUGAAAUCCCAGGGCUCAACCUUGGAACUGCAUUUGUGACUGCAUAGCUAGAGUACGGUAGAGGGGGAUGGAAUUCCGCGUGUAGCAGUGAAAUGCGUAGAUAUGCGGAGGAACACCGAUGGCGAAGGCAAUCCCCUGGACCUGUACUGACGCUCAUGCACGAAAGCGUGGGGAGCAAAC
rnacentral:rRNA from 1 species